GCCGUAGCUCAGUGGCAGAGCAUCUGCCUGGCAUGCAGAAGCCCCAGGUUCAAUCCCAAGCAUCUCCA